rnacentral:rRNA from 1 species
CCUACGGGUGACAGCAGUGGGGAAUAUUGCACAAUGGGGGAAACCCUGAUGCAGCGACGCCGCGUGAGUGAAGAAGUAUUUCGGUAUGUAAAGCUCUAUCAGCAGGGAAGAAAUAGCGACCUUUGGGUCGCCAGACGGUACCUGACUAAGAAGCCCCGGCUAACUACGUGCCAGCAGCCGCGGUAAUACGUAGGGGGCAAGCGUUAUCCGGAUUUACUGGGUGUAAAGGAAGCGUAGACGGCAGCACAAGUCUGAAGUGAAAUGCAGGGGCUUAACCCCGGAAAAGCUUAGGAAACUGUGCAGCUAGAGUGCAGGAGAGGUAAGUGGAAUUCCUAGUGUAGCGGUGAAAUGCGUAGAGAUUAGGAAGAACACCAGUGGCGAAGGCGACUUACUGGACUGUAACUGACGUUGAGGCUCGAGAGCGUGGGGAGCAAACAGGAUUAGAUACCCCGGUAGUC